ACGGAAGGCAGCAGUGGGGAAUAUUGCACAAUGGGGGAAACCCUGAUGCAGCGACGCCGCGUGAGUGAAGAAGUAUUUCGGUAUGUAAAGCUCUAUCAGCAGGAAAGAAAAUGACGGUACCUGACUAAGAAGCCCCGGCUAACUACGUGCCAGCAGCCGCGGUAAUACGUAGGGGGCAAGCGUUAUCCGGAUUUACUGGGUGUAAAGGGAGCGUAGACGGCUUUGCAAGUCUGAAGUGAAAGCCCGAGGCUCAACCCCGGAACUGCUUUGGAAACUGUAGAGCUAGAGUGCAGGAGAGGUAAGUGGAAUUCCUAGUGUAGCGGUGAAAUGCGUAGAUAUUAGGAGGAACACCAGUGGCGAAGGCGGCUUACUGGACUGUAACUGACGUUGAGGCUCGAAGGCGUGGGGAGCAAACAGGAUUAGAUACCCUGGUA
rnacentral:rRNA from 2 species